rnacentral:rRNA from 1 species
CGCACUCGACCUUCGGGUCACAUGAGUGAGUGGCGAACGGGUGAGUAACACGUGAGAAACCUGCCCCGAAGACUGGAAUAACCCGAGGAAACUCGGGCUAAUACCGGAUAUCCCCACCGGGUCGCAUGGCCAGGUGAGGAAAUGCUCAGGCGCUUCGGGAGGGUCUCGCGGCCUAUCAGCUAGUUGGUGAGGUAACGGCUCACCAAGGCAACGACGGGUAGCUGGUCUGAGAGGACGAUCAGCCACACUGGGACUGAGACACGGCCCAGACUCCUACGGGAGGCAGCAGUGGGGAAUCUUGCGCAAUGGGCGAAAGCCUGACGCAGCCACGCCGCGUGAGGGAUGAAGGCUUUCGGGUUGUAAACCUCUUUCAGCAGGGACGAAAAUGACGGUACCUGCAGAAGAAGCUCCGGCCAACUACGUGCCAGCAGCCGCGGUAACACGUAGGGAGCAAGCGUUGUCCGGAUUUAUUGGGCGUAAAGAGCUCGUAGGCGGUUCGGUAAGUCGGGUGUGAAAACUUGAGGCUCAACCUCAAGAGGCCACUCGAUACUGCUGUGACUGGAGUCCGGUAGAGGAGUGUGGAAUUCCUGGUGUAGCGGUGAAAUGCGCAGAUAUCAGGAGGAACACCGACAGCGAAGGCAGCACUCUGGGCCGGUACUGACGCUGAGGAGCGAAAGCAUGGGGAGCAAACAGGAUUAGAUACCCUGGUAGUCCAUGCCGUAAACGUUGGGCACUAGGUGUGGGGUCUAGCUAACAGAUUCCGUGCCGCAGCUAACGCAUAA